UUUCGGGUGUGCAGCGGUUUGAGCAUGGGGCUGUGACUCUGGAGACCAGGGUUCGAAUCCCUGCUUGGCCA